UGGGGGAUAUUGCGCAAUGGAGGAAACUCUGACGCAGCAACGCCGCGUGAAGGAAGAAGGUCUUCGGAUUGUAAACUUUUGUCUUCGGGGACGAUAAUGACGGUACCAGAGGAGGAAGCCACGGCUAACUACGUGCCAGCAGCCGCGGUAAUACGUAGGUGGCAAGCGUUGUCCGGAUUUACUGGGCGUAAAGGAUGCGUAGGCGGAUACUUAAGUCAGAUGUGAAAAUCCCGGGCUUAACUUGGGAACUGCAUUUGAAACUGGGUAUCUAGAGUGCGGGAGAGGAAAGUGGAAUUCCUAGUGUAGCGGUGAAAUGCGUAGAGAUUAGGAAGAACACCAGUGGCGAAGGCGACUUUCUGGACCGUAACUGACGCUGAGGCAUGAAAGCGUGGGGAGCAAACA
rnacentral:rRNA from 1 species